rnacentral:rRNA from 1 species
AUUGAACGCUGGCGGCAGGCUUUACACAUGCAAGUCGAACGAGUGGCGGACGGGUGAGUAAUGCAUGGGAACCUGGCGUAUGGAGGGGGAUAACUAUGGGAAACUGUCGCUAAUACCGCAUACCAUACGAGCGGCCGAUGUGGGAUUAGGUGGUUGGUGGGGUAAUGGCCCACCAAGGCGAAGCUCGUUAGCUGGUCUGAGAGGAUGACCAGCCACACUGGGACUGAGACACUGCCCAGACGCCUACGGUAGGCAGCAGUGGGGAAUCUUGGGCAAUGGACGCAAGUCUGAUGCAGCCAUGCCGCGUGACUGAAGACGGCCUUCGGGUUGUAAAGCACUUUUGUCAGGGAAGCCGUAACCGGAGAAGAAGCCCCGGCUAACUACCGUCCAGCCGGCGCGGUAAUUC